CCGGAGGCAUUAUGUUUUCAUCUCUACGCACAUCCGUUCAUGUCAUUCUUCUGAACACAAUGGGUUGGACAGUGCCACAGUGAGUUUUAUGGCUCAUGUGUGUUGUGACAGUGUGAAAGGCACAGGAAGGAAAGGCUGCGUUUCCUCUGAUGCUCCUGCCCCUGUGGACCAGAGGAGAUAAGAACACACACACACACACAAACACACACACAGCAUUGAACAACAAUCACAACACAGAUCCACGCUGCCUGCACUAACACCCCCUCCCUCUCCAUCUCCCCCGCAGAUCAACUUCCACAAGGCUUGGCCUUAAUCAACCCCCACCCACCUCACACAUCACACAGUUUUGGUUUGUUCUCAUCUCAACAUUUUUUUUUUUUUUUUACUUCCCGGUCCAACAAAAGUGUUGAAAUUAAAAGCCAUGAGUCUAGCACUGAUAGCUUUCAAAUAGUUAAACAAUCACUGCUCAAGUUCUCACUGAACUAUUCGGGUUAGUGAAACAAAACACAAAACAGUCAUCGUGCCUGCUCUGCAUAACAGACCGUUUGUUAUAAGAGAAGCAGGUGUUCAGAUCGUCUUUACCCUUUCAUUGGUUGAUUAAUGUGUGCAAGAAAGCCACUUCAUUCAGUAAUAAUUAAAGGACUUCCAUGAAAGUGUGAAGUGUGUUGUGCUUUCCAGGGUGAGACAGCCACUCAGAAUGUGUGUCUAUGUUAUUUUCUGCGUCUGUAUAUGUGUGUCUGUGUGUGUGUGUGUGUGUGUGUGCGCGCACGCUGACGUAAGCCCCUCUAUCUGAUGAUGCCCUUCUAAUCCCCACAGUGAUGUGUCAUGAAUAUGGAGUUUAAGACUCAAAUCCCCAGGGAUACACAGGCUAUAGAUAGCUUGCUCCUUCCAUACACACACACACACACACACACACACACACACGAGGUAUAUACACCUUCAGCAGCUGUCCCAGUCCGGCACACACAGUGCACACACCGCUGCUGACCCCCGUGACGUUAAAGGGCCAGAACAGGGAGAAGCCAGAAAGAGGUGAUUAAGAGGAAAGUAAGAGUCAGAAGGAUCUCACUGGAAUGAAAAUAACUGAGAAAUGCAGAAAGUAAAGGAUGUGCUUAUAGAGCUUAUGAAGGGCUGUUAAACAUCUACCAACUUUGCGUAUUUUUGUCAUUUUCGCCACAUUUAAGACCAGGAAAUGUCACAAUAUCACUAAAAAAAGUCACAAGCAGAUGAAACAUUAACAGACAAAAGAUUAUAGAAAGUAGUGUAAACAAAUUCCAAAGGUUAUAGGGAAGCGAGAGCGAAACAGAACAGCAGAAAAACUGCACAAACUAACAAAAGUUGCUGUAAACAGGACUCCCUGGUCUGUCUGUGCUUUAAGUAAUAUCACAAAAUGAAUAAAUUACACUUGUUCAGAUGUGCUCACUUUUAAUAUACAGUCAAAUAAGGCGGUUGAGAUAGUCUGACUUGAUGGGUUGAAUGACUUUUUUACAUCUUUAUGAUUAUCUGAUUGUGUUUCGGAGAUAACGCUGCGCAUUUAAGUCUUAGUACUUACCACACAGUCAAAAGUGUCCCAUAUGUUUGACACCUAAAUAAAUAAACUAAGUAAAUGCCCAUCACAUGAAACAAUAUCUCCAGGUAGGGAUCAGUUGCAUGGUCAUCCUGAUUACUAAUCUUUCUUUCUUCCUUUCAGUCAGCUAUUCAAUAAAAGCCCAAUAAAGUAGUCCCAAAAGUACUGUCACAACCAAUAGAACUGACUUGAAAUUUAAAGGAGUUGAAGGAUUUACUAGAUGUUUUUUGGGCUGUUGAUCAUAUCCAGAGAUUUUCAUCCGUAGACGCUAUUUUCACAGAACAUAUGUCACUCUAAAAGCUGAAGUUCAAAGUUUACUCUUUACUAUGGAAACAGUACAUUUUAAUAAAGCACAACGAUUCCUUAAUAUUGAAUUAAACACUAUGCAGGGCACUGCAUAAUGCCAUCGUCCGACCACAUUUAAGUCGCAAUGAAACCAUCAAAGUCGCAAAUAGAUGAAAUUACCGGCUACUGUGAAUUUGUUUGCGUGCGCUUAUGUCUAAAUGUGCGGUAUGAAUUCACUCUAGGCUGAGGAGUACAGGAAACUCUUUAUGUUUUAUUGAGAGCAGUAAUCUGAAGGUGUGGUUCCUCAGAUUAUUAAAGAAAUAGUGAGUGUGACCUCAAACACACACAGAUUAAGUGAUAAAAAAAAACGUAAUGUAAGUAUAAUCACACUCUCUGCUCAGCUCUGACAGGCACAUACACAACUGCACACACACACACACACACACACACACAGACACACACAUAUCCCACCACGCCCCAAAAGCUUGCCAACCCAUAUGGCUUGGGGAUAAUAAACCGAACAGCCAGCAACACGUCUCCUGUGCUCCGGAGCCAAAGAAGCCAAAGGAAUGCACAUCCCUCCAGUUCACUCCCUCUCUUUAUCUGCCUCUCUUUCUUCUUCCUCUGUGUGUUUGUCAUUCUCUGUCUUUUUCUGUUCAUCUCAGAGCACUGAGUGAAGGACCCUCUGUUACAGUGAAGAAGUAUGCCUCGUACGAGUGUGUGUUGGCAUCCGAGUGUGUGUUUGUGUGUUCGAGUUGUGCCAAAGAAACCAGUCUGACGAGUCUGUGAAGAGCUUGCCCUUGGGAUGGAGGGAAAAGGGGAAGGGAAGUGGGAUGGAAAAAGGGAGGGAGUGUGAGGAUGAAAUGAAAGGGAAAAUAAACAGUUAUGUGAAGGAGAGAGGAAAAGGGGGGGAGAUGACUUCGAAAAGAGCGAGAGUUUGGCUCAGAAGAACUUGCUUAGUAGAGUACGUAGCAUCUGCCCUCUAAUCUCUGUUUCUUAAAUGCCAAAUGUGAAUGUGACCAAACACACCUCUUACCCCCCACCUUCUUUGCGUCUUUCUUUCUCAUUCCCCUUUGCUCUUCUCUUCCCAGGCCUCCCACCUCUAUGUGUCUCUGCGGUGCAGUGGAACAGCCAGCGAGGCCUGCGGCAGGAGUGCUAAGCCUGGGCCUGGAUUUGGAGCAUGGCUGCUCUCGGUUGAGCGGGAUCCAGGCCCCCUGAGGGCUAAGGGGUGGGAGCGGAGGGUGGAGGGUGGAGGCUGGGGGUAGGGGAGGGUAGGGUAGGGGUGCAGUGGAGGAGAGGGAGGAGAACAGCGGCAGCAGAGGCAGCAAGCAGUACAGUUCUGGAUCACCUUCAAAGAGCUCCAGUCCCAACGGAUAGACUGGAUUCCUCUGUGGAGAGAGGAGUAGAAAAGGGGGAGGGUAUGCGGGGAGAGAAAGGAAAGAGACAUGGGAGACAUGAGACAAGGGGAAAGUGUGAAAAGAGAAAGGAAAGAAGUGUUUUGUGUUAUAACUUCUCCCACUCGUUCACUCUCUCUCUCCCUCCCUCUCUCUCUCCACCCGACGUGCAAGCACUUGCCCUUCAUACAGCAGGCUAUACUGAGAUGAUCUAUCUGUGUGCCAGAGCAGGGAGACAUGGGAAAUCUGGCCCGCACAAAGAAGUCGUUGUGCCUCCCUGGAGCUUCCUUUAGGGGCUGAUGUGUGAGUGUAUGUUUGGAUGUUUGUGUGUGUGUGUGUGACAUGGAUGAGUAAGGGUUUACCUUCUCAGGUCCCCCACCUACCAAAAGGUUCUCCUGACACAGGUAUAAGUACACACACACACACACUCAGUGGCAAAUGCACCUUCAAAAAUCCAAGGACAUUGCAGAUUGUCAUCCACAGGAGUCUCAUUCUUGUGCGUGUGGUGGGUGACUUUCAAGCUCUGCACCUAAAUAAGCCUCUUACACAAUGCAAAAAAAAAGGCUAUGACAAUUUAGUACAGCUCAGAUUUGUUCCACCGGAGUUGUGCGUGUUCCCUUUCUGUAAAUGCGUGAGGAAGUGGUACGUUUUACUUUGCAUUUGUGCAUGCGUGUGUGCAUGCGCAUCAGUGACAGACCUUCAUCCUGAGUCUGGGUCAGCAGUUUGUUUAGCAUCAAUUAGAGGCUCUGUGUUCCUCAACGCAAGCGUGAAGGGAGAAUUAACGUGCAGUGGCACAUUCCCACCAGCAUAUUAUUUCACACAACACCUCAGCUGGAACAGUCCUAGUGCAUUGUGCAUGUAUGUAUCAGUGCAAGUGUGAGCGCAUAUAGGUGUGCAUGCGCAUAUAUGCAGAUUUGUGAAUUCGCAAAGUGCUUCACUGUUCUAUUUUUUCCAUUUCUUCUUCUUCUUCUUCAUGCUUUCCUCCCGACUUGCUCUUCAAGGACUACGGUUUGACCACAGCCAUUUCCCUUAGCCUCGGCUUUGCCUAGCAACACACAGCACAUAGUUUCCAUAGAACAUGCAUUUAAUGGGGGAGAAGAUAUAUAGAUACUGGUGAAAGUCUCUGGUAAAGACAACUGUGUCUAAAGAUUUCCUGCUCUGCUCACAAAGUUUAAAAAACACAUGUUCAGUGGCUUUGGUACAGACUUGUCUCUUAAAGGCGUGUAGUGGAAGAAUGAAGGGCAGCGUACUGAAAACAUAACUGAAAUCAUUUCUACAACAUUAAAUACAGGGUAUGACCAUAAUAAGUGAAACACCAUGGUAAUUGCUUUGGUCUGUCGUGGCGGGUUGUGCUUUUAUUGUGUUGGUUUUGGUUUAGCUUUUACACAAAGAGAAACUCUUAUUAACAGAAUGAUUCAAUGUGAUCAUCAUUGAAACCUACCAUCUUUCAUACACUAGCAAAACAGUUCAACUAGGACACGAUGUUACAGUAAGGAACUCCACUGGGUUAACAUUUCUUUAAAAAAAAAAAAAACAGAAGCCAAUAUUUUAAAGUCAAAUUAGUGCUCCGAUUUUUCAAGUCAGUCACAAGACUCAACAACAGCAACAAAAACAAGUUGAAAACAUUACUUGAAUAAUAAUUUAUUUAUGAGAACAUUACAGCAUUCUGUCUUACCUUUGCCUUCAUUACUGUAUGUUCAAAACAAUCAAAGUUGGCAAGCGACUGUAGCAUGUUCCAACCUGUUAGCUAGUUUUCACCCAAUGUGCACACACACAGGUGACAAAAUUAGAGGAAAAUUAUUAGUGUGCCAUAAUUAAUCUGCUCUUGUAAUUCUAGUAUUUAACCUAACACCCGAUGCUUACAUUAAAUGAUUAAGUAGUGAUAUUCAUAUUAUAGGUCCAAAGCUGAAAAUAAAUCUGAACUCAGCUCCAUUACCUUCAGGUCCUGUUGGCUUUAGGCCAGGGUGCACAUUUUAAAUACCUACAUGUACUGUGUGCUCAGAUAGGAUGUUGCCAUAUUAUAUUAUUAUGUUUUUAAAUAACGCACCUGAACACACACUAAAAAUCAUCAUCAUUUUGAAGCAUCAACACAUCCAGACAUGUUAAUAGAGCCAUUGUUUUUCUUUGACAACAGCUUCCAAGAAAGAUAUGCAUCAUUCAUGAUCAUUUAACAUUAUUAUGUUAGAAGUGAUUAAAACAAGCCUAACCCUCUUAGGGAUUAUUGGAUUGAAUUCAGUCCAGGAAAUGUACCACACACAGGCACAGCUUUGCCAAAAUCCCUCAGUUUGGCAGUAUUUACAUUGCUUUUUUCCUUACUUUGAUUACACUCUCUGCAUAAAUAUCGACUACAGUUUCAUUUCUUUUGUGUCCUUUUUGUGUUCUUUGAUGGGGGGAUGGGAUGUCAGUGGGUCUUUGCCAGGAGAGAGGUUUCCUUGCUUUGCCAAGGUAUGCCCUCCUCCCUGUCUCGCAUGUGGAGCGUUGCUCUAUACUUGCUUGUAAAUAGUGAGAUAAGUGUGGUUUACCCGUAGCUGGGGUGUAAGGUGCACUCAGCACCGCCCUGACAUGUCUGUGCCAAAGCCCAACAGGGGUGUAAUUACCUGAGACUGGGUCAGCACUUUAUCCGGGGUAAAAAUACCUGCCUACUUAUAGAAGGGGAACAGAGAGGGCAGCUCCAUGCAAAGGGAAGCCUGUCUUCACACAUUCAGCAAACGGCUCCUCUACUGCACUACUGCUUUCUCCAAUACCCCUUUUGAAGAGUCGUAUAGUGUUACUUAAUAAUCUGUCACGGGGACUCUCAGACGAGACCUUUCCAUCUUCCUCUUUACGCGGCUGCGACGGACUGACCUACAAAACACUUCUACGCGCGUCCAAUAUUCCACUCUCUACUUUUACCCGCAGCCGACUUUCUGUCCAGUACCUUUCCACACUCUCUGUAUUCCCCUACUCCGCCCCUUUCACACCACAUCUGUCUCUCUGCCCUCUGAGUCAAGGACGGAGAGGGCCAAGCAGACAUGCAGAGGACAGCUCUGCACCAAUCAGGAGACAACAAGAGCUUGUGUCAAUUAAAUGGUAUGUGCUUAUGCCGCAAAUCACAGACACAUGUUCUGUUUUCCCCUCCCACCCUGUGGCUGUAGCCUCUCUUCUCCACCACCUAAUGCAGCGUAAUCAUCCUCAUUACCUAAUGAGACCCUACUGUACACACAAACUCUCCUUCGCUGCUUCUACAUUUCACUCUUUCACAAAUACACGUGUGUAAAGUGCUGCCAUAUGCCCACACAAAAUUGUAUAGCCUACACUGUAAUAGACAUCCAUCUGAAUCUGUACAUACACUCAACUAUCAACACUGUGCCUCUCACUGCCACAACACUCUAAAGCCUCUAAUGCCACAGUAAUACUAUUGUAGUGUGUAUUAUCAACAGGACAGUGAACACUGAAUUAGGCUGGCAGCUGGGGAGGGGAGAAACCCCUCAUUAGCUCCCUUCAAUGUAUCUACUUCCCCUAAUCUCUUACAAUAACAUAAUCUCUUUAAAAGUGCUGCAGCUUAAAUCCAAUCUGCCUAAAACCUGACACGUGAUUGAGGUCAAUCCUCAGUAAACCCCAAACUGUGGGGUCCACUCACAACAACCCCCAAUCGUGUAAGCUACAGUAUGUAAUGUAUUGCAUUUAUGGUUUGCUUAAGUCAGUAUUCAUGAGUGUUGCAGUACCAUAAAGCACACACUUGAAGAUACGUACGCCUUUUCCUGAGUCAGACAUUUAUCUUCUUUCACCAACAGCCUUCAGUCAGCCUGGCCUGCCGCCUGACUGUUCCUCUGAUCCCAGUGCAGUUUGUAUCCUCUCACAGCCUUUAUUCUAUCUGACCCUGGUAGCACAGAGCAGCUCUGCUCUUUUUUAUUUUUUGAUGGUUUUCCAUAGUGUCUCUUGCCUCCAAACCACUUACAGAUGUUGGCAGCGGGGAGCGUUGUGGCAACUCCAAACGAGGAAAUCUAAAUAGAGAUCAGGCUGUAAAAUAAAAAAGAAGGAAUGGAGAAAGGGAAAACAAGAGGAAAGCAAGAGAGCAAAUGUGUGAAUGGGUAAGCAACGAGCAAGCAUUAGUGUAGAAUUAUUGGAAAGAGUAUAACAUACUUACCUGGAAUUCAAGAGCAGUGAUUAGGGGCAGCUUAUCUUGCUUUUGCUGUAUGUAAAUACAAUUUACAGCUGUUUUCUUAAUGUUUUUCUUAUGAUCACAUUUUAGUCGAAAAAACUGAAAUAUCAGCAGAAAUCAAUUAAAAACAUUUUUUUAUCACUUAAAAGAAGUGAUCAAUGUCAGUCAACAACAAAUAAAAAAUUAACCUGAGCAACAUUUAACAAGGACCAUAAAUUUCCUGCUAAAUUCAGCUGUGUUUCUAUACCUGAUAAUGGAUCCUCUUAAAAUUCUAUAUGGUUCAAAACCACAGCUUCGUACUCCCUUUUCCACUUACUGCUCCCCCGGCAGGUUUUUCCAUUAAAUACAACAUACUGUGGCAGGCUUUAGGACAUAAGAACCAACCCCUCAAAUUGGAAUUUACCGAGGCCUACUGGAAAACAAUUUUUCUGGGCAGAAGGUAGACUUGGCCUGGCUCUGCGAUGGCAGCUCUGUUACCUCCCUCCACCUGUUUUACAGGAAGUAGCCUUGUCCCGGUGGAUCAGAGAGGAAAUGUGUUGAAAUGCCACAUCCUGCUCCGAGCUUAGAGUCAGAGUUCACUGCAGCUAAUGCUUAUUAUGUCCAGACACCUCCUAGGGAGAAACCAGUGCAGACAAAGAGAAGAGAAGUGGAGGUAUGUUUGCAGCCAUGCCACUCCCUGUGCUGUGAUUGUAAAGAUGAGUGACCUGUCUCUCCCAUCUCUCCUCUCCCCCCUCCUCUUCCUCUCUCCCCUGCACUUUAUUUAUUAAUGGAUCCAUUCAAUUAUUUACCUCACAUCUUAGGGCGACAACAGGCCAGAGAACAGUACACAGGGUGGAGAUGAUACAGUACACAUCCGCACAGCACGCAGACGCUACUUGUGCAGCGGCCAGACAUGGAUCAAUCCCACCCGGAAUUGGGUUUCACAUCCCGGAAGCAGAGAUGUACACAUGGGUCACUUUCAUUGACUCAGUGCGGCCAUGUCCAUAGGUAUCCAUCAUACAGGCCAUUGACUCGUUGUGACCAUGAAGGUACAGAUUCAUCAUAAGGAAAGGCUGUGGUGGACGAGGUCAGCGAAAAAGUAGCGGCUGCUUCUCAUCUGCCAUGCGGUUGAAAUUAAGCCUUUUGAGAUAUUAUCACUAAUGUCGAUGUAAUUACAGUAUAAUGUACUAUACAUGGGUGUUUAUGUAAAAUUAGGUUUUCUGCCAAUUAUGUGGUGUGGAAAACUAAAAAAAGUAAACCACAAAAUUACAUUUAAGAUUAGAUCGUUUGCAUUUUGAGCGCAUGUGUUUUCACCUGCAUAAAACAGUCAAACACAGUCUGAUUAUUUGUGUUGAAGUGUAUGUUUGUGCACGUGUGUGUUGGGCGUUACAUGCCGGAGAUAAAUAACAGACGCAGUGAUGCUGUGUUGAUCUGAACUCCAGACAGCGUCGGGGCUCAGCUGAGGACUGAGACGGAGAAGACGAAGGGAGGGACAGAGCGAGAUGAGCGAGAGACGAGAAGAAGAUGGUGAAGAUUGAUUGCCAUUGACUCUGGUCCAGAGCGCUGAGAACUGGAUGCCGUCCACCCACCCAACAGCUUCUCGCCUCACAAGACUAAAAGCAAGAAUAGGGGGAAAAAAAACGGUUUCUGUUAACAUCCAGCUGCAGUAGAGUCCCACUUGGUGGAAUAUAUGAGAGCAAUUAUAACCCCAUCAUGAAAAGACUGUGGACCUAAAAACAAUGGCUAAAUUGCAACAUUGUUGAAUAUCCACAAUGGAAACUCAUAGAGAGCUCUGCACUAUAGAGAUUAAAAAAAAGAAAAGUGCCUGGGUGUAUGUAUGUGUAUAUAUAUAUAUAUAUAUAUAUAUAUAUAUAUAUAUAUACACACUGCCUUUGCGUGUAAGUGUGUCGUGUGUGUUCAUACAUUUGAUUUCAGAUAAGGCAUGCUUGCCAUCCUCAGCGCUUGAACACGUCUGCUGUUUACAGUGUAUAUGCAUGAGUAUAUGUGUCUGUAGCAGUAUGUAUGCAUGUGUUAGAAGGGGGUGUAUAUGUACAGGAAGAGAGCCUGUAAAUAAAUCUGUUUGGGGAUUGGGGGUGUGGGGAUGAAAUAUGGUCCCAGGGAUGUGGAGCAAUGUGAAAAACUCGGCAACGCCAGGGAAUAACAAAUCUCCUGAUGUCGCCUCUCUGCAAAAUAAAUACACUCCCUCGUACAAGUCAUCCAUCUGGACUAUGAGUCGCAACAAAGACGCCCCCAAUAUAUCCCCAACCCACCCCAACACACACAUACACCCACUUACACAGGAACCAUCACACAGUAGCCAUAUUUAUUUACACAUUUAUUUAUUUGUUUGUUUGUUGAAUUAAAUGAAAACUGCCAGUAGGGGAUUAGAAAAGUGUGUGGGGUUUUUUUGUGAAUGAAACACAAUUUUUCUCAAUCCCCCCCUCCCUUGUCCCCCCCGCCCCUUCCCCAUUUUGAACAGUCUCUGUCUUAAUGGGCGGUUUGGAGGGGUUGCAAUGAAGUAGAUGUGGGGGUGGCGGGUGCAGGGUUUGUAGAUCGGGCGUUUUAACUAAUGAUCGAUCACGGGGGAUUAAAUAAUUAAAUUUCAGCCUUGACAAUUUAAAAGUCUCGCCACACAUAGUCGACUGAAUGAGGAAAGAGAAAGAUGAAAGAUUCUGCCUGCAGCAAUGUAUCAGAAAGAUUCAACAUCUAAUACAUUACAGGAAGAAAGCGUGGGUGUGUGUUUGUGUGUGUGUUGGCAAAAGGGUGUACUGUUUUUAGCUUAUGUACGUGCAGAUACUCUCCACUGACAUAUAGGUUUGAGUAAAUACAUUCAGCUAACUGCGUAGGCCCACCAGAUUCUUCUUCACUUUUCUUAUCUGGGCCUCUUCUCCCAGACACUACAACCUCUGCAGCACUAAAAGCUCACAUGUGGGGCAAUAUGUAUCUGUAUUAAAAUAAAUAAAUAACCACACAACAGCAUAAAGGCGCUCACUUUUACAAUAAAGGGAUGAGAUGUUUGCUAUUUUGUUAUUUUCUUUACAAUUCAGUUUUCUUUUUCCAAUUAAGGUCUAUUCUCUUGGCUUAAUUAGGUCAUGGCGAGUUGUGAGUCAUGGUGUGUGUGUGUGUGUGUGUGUGUGUGUAUUUGUGUGAGAUAGAGUGUGUGUGUGUGUGUGGGUCAUUCUGUCCCUCCCAGGGAUAAAUAUUAGUCCUCGUUGUUUGCAAAUAGGUGAUGUAUGGUGGCCAUAUCUCUCGGUGAUGAAUGUUUUUUAGAAAUUUCCUCUCCUUUAUCAAUUGACUAACAAACCCAUGUAUCACUGCCACUCUCUCCCACUCCCCACAUAAAUUAAAUAACCAGCUCUCUCUCUCUCUUUUUCCUCUUGCUCUCUCUCUAUUCCACUUCUCACUUGUUUCUCCCUCUGUGCCUCCAUGUGCUCCUUUUCAUUACUCCUUUAAGCUUUAUUCAUUUUAUUACAUUUUGUGCGUUUUCUGCACAUGACGCACAUCAAACCUACAGCAGUCAGCGCCAAUGUUGUGGUGGUAAUAGUCACACAUU